rnacentral:rRNA from 1 species
AGAGUUUGAUCCUGGCUCAGGAUGAACGCUAGCGGCAGGCUUAAUACAUGCAAGUCGAACGGGAUUCGGGGUAGCAAUACUUUGAUGAGAGUGGCGCACGGGUGCGUAACGCGUAUGCAACCUACCUUUAACAGGGGAAUAGCCCCGAGAAAUCGGGAUUAAUACUCCGUAACAUUGCGGUGUGGCAUCACACUGCAAUUAAAGAUUUAUCGGUUAAAGAUGGGCAUGCGUGACAUUAGCUAGUUGGUGAGGUAACGGCUCACCAAGGCAACGAUGUCUAGGGGUCCUGAGAGGGUUAUCCCCCACACUGGUACUGAGACACGGACCAGACUCCUACGGGAGGCAGCAGUAAGGAAUAUUGGUCAAUGGGCGCAAGCCUGAACCAGCCAUGCCGCGUGCAGGAAGACGGCCCUAUGGGUUGUAAACUGCUUUUAUCAGGGAAUAAACCCCCGCUCGUGAGCGGGGCUGAAGGUACCUGAAGAAUAAGCAUCGGCUAACUCCGUGCCAGCAGCCGCGGUAAUACGGAGGAUGCAAGCGUUAUCCGGAUUCAUUGGGUUUAAAGGGUGCGCAGGCGGAUUGGUAAGUCAGGGGUGAAAUCCCACAGCUCAACUGUGGAACUGCCUUUGAUACUGUCAGUCUAGAGUAUAGUUGAAGUUGGCGGAAUGUGUCAUGUAGCGGUGAAAUGCUUAGAUAUGACACAGAACACCGAUCGCGAAGGCAGCUAGCUAAGCUAUAACUGACGCUCAUGCACGAAAGCGUGGGGAUCAAACAGGAUUAGAUACCCUGGUAGUCCACGCUGUAAACGAUGAUUACUCGAUGUUGGCGAUACACAGUCAGCGUCUGAGCGAAAGCAAUAAGUAAUCCACCUGGGAGUACGAUCGCAAGAUUGAAACUCAAAGGAAUUGACGGGGGCCCGC